rnacentral:lncRNA from 1 species
GUGGCUUAAGAGGGCUAUCACAAAUUUUCGAGUUUUAUACGAGUUUUGAUGCGUCAUUAUGCUUUGGAUAUAGUCACAAAAAAAAAACAAAAAUAAGAUUAAGAAAGUUUGAUCAUUUAUCUUGGGGCUGUUUUCAAUAAAUAUUUUAAUUUGUCCACGUACAUCAGUAAAAUCUUUGUCUCUGCAAAGGAUGUUUCAUAAAAUGUUGCUUUUGGGUAUCUUUUGAUGCUUCAGUACUACGAGGAUAUAGCAAUUUAACCAUUUAUAAAAAUGUUCAAGAUACAACUAUAUCUUGUACUUGUGCUUGCUUACACCAAUUUAUUACAAUUCAUACAGUAAUACACCAAAAAUAAUUCUAUAAAACUGAGAGUUACUGACAAUUUUCCGUACAAAACUAUAUUUUUUAUCUAUGAAAGUAUAAUCCAAAUUCAAAUAAAACAUAUUUAAUAAUUAAGGUGGUAUUGUUAUAAAGCUUGAAAAAAAAAAUUGGUCUAUUUAAAAGUAAAACAAUAUUUUAAAAUAAUUUUUGUUUGCAAUGCAAAAAUCAAUAUAAAUCUUGUGACGCGCGGUGUUCAACUUUAGUCAGCGCUGGUCAGCGCCAAGCGCUUAUCGAGGGAGGACGUAUCGCUCGCUGUUGCGCCGCGCAAACUCGCCGGAGCUCGAAAAAUAUAGCGCAACCUGCGCAACGAACUCGUUUUGAUACUAGAUAAUGAAAGCAUAUUUAAUUCAGAUUAUCAGACUCAAUCGGAUACCAGUACAAAUAAUAUGGAAAAUGAAGAUACAAUACAUGGAAGACGAAUUAUAGAUUUUAGUUUUUUUAUAAAUCAAUUACUUAUACCUAAUUGAUAAACAUGGUGAAAAGUUUGGUUGUCGAUUAAAUAAUUUAAAAAUUGUAAACGA